AAUGAAUCCCAUUGAUUUGGCAUUACUAUGUAAUUAUAAUUUAAAGCAAAGGUUUUCAAUUUUCCAACUGAAAAAGAAGACAACUUUUGCCUAGAAGAUGAAUGGAAGUGACGGAGUCCAGACUGAAAGAGAGAAAAGAAUUUCUCAAAGGAUAAAAGAACAAGAGCUGCAGGAGCUGUCUGACAGACUGCCAAGAGAACGGCCAACUCAAUGCACUAAAAGGUACCAGUCAUAUAUUCCAACCACUCCUGCCAGCGGUGACAUCCAAACACCUUUCAAGAUAUUGCCAAAUGUCAACUGAUUGCUGUUGGGUGAGGGAGAGUAGAUCUUCCCUAAGAUCUC